GCCUUGGUUCUGCUCAAGCCGUGCACACGAGGAGGGCGUGCUGAGUCCCUCGCCGGGCUGUGCAGCUGCAGGCGGCCGUGCAGCAGUGCUCCCAGUCACGUACGGCUGUGCUGAGCAGUGAGAGGGACCCGCACCGCCGGCAGCUCCUAUUGGAGAGCAGUGUGUGUUUGCUAAAGGUCUCACACAGCCAUGGUAACGGCAGCGCCGUGUCUCCCUGGGAGAUGAGGCGCUCAUGGAGGCCUGCAGAGCAGGGAGGGGACGGAUGCCUUCAGACUGAGCUGCUCGUAUUGGAGACCCCCGAACCACUCCUUAGGUUUUGUAUUCCCAGUGUUCUGCUAAAAAUCCUGCCCGGAGAUAGGAUGGGUGUGAAUCUGCAUUGCUGUGCUCUGCUCAGCUGUCAGCUGGGCCUCUCCUCCCUGGGCAGGGGCUGCAGAAGUUAGGGCAGGCAUGGCUGCAGGUGUACGGGAGGAGGAGGAGGGAGGAGGUGAAUCUCCGUGCAGCCGUAUGUUUGAUGUAGCAAGGCACAGCACCUCUUCUCUGUGUCCGGCUGUGAUGGAUGUGCUUGUUUGGGUGAAGUUGUGCCCUUCAGAAGUCUGUAUCCUAAUCCAUACACAGGGGCCUCUGAAAUCAUUGCAAGGGAAUGGCAAAGCAGCAGCAAAUUAAGUUUUUAUUGAGGAGAGAUCACGACUGGAGGUGUUUCUGUUUCAGACCAUGGCUUUACAGCUGAGGUUGCCAGCAGCGAAGCUAAUUUGAGCUGUGCUGGGCUUCCUGGGUGAAGAGCCUUUGCUUCAGAGAGAGCUCCUUAAAUUAGCACUUCUUCCCACUGGAGCCUUCGGUUUGGCGUUGGGGGCAGCUGGCAGGAAGACAAUCUGGGAGUGCAAUCUAUAGCACAGAGCAGCUGCACUCGGACCGCGAGCCUUCCUCUCUCUGCUGCAAGCACAGGAUAAAACAUGCUGGGACUUCCUCGGUACCCCGCCACGCGCUCCCUCCUCCAGUGCCUUUUCAUCUUCCUUCCCAUGAAUAUUAACAGCAGUCCUUUGGCUUUGAAAAGCAGCAGUGCUCAGAUACCUGCAGACAUGCCUCCCGAAGUCCCCGCAGCGCUCGCUCCAGCUCUCCCAGUUGGGUUUUGCAGUGAGGUUGCUCACUCAGCCCCAGAUGCUCUGUGGUUCUGCAGUGAAGACAAACCUCGCUCAGCCCAUCCACCUAUGGCACACUCGGGCAGUCAGGUGCACCAGCGGCUCCUUGCCACUAUUGGACUGGGCUGAGUUUAAACAGCAGCCAUUCAGUGACCAAAACCCUACCCUUCACUUUUGGGUGCUUGGAGGUCACCAGCAGGAGACCACACCGAUCUGGGCUUCGGUUCUUCCCUGGAGAUGGCUUUACAAAAGAUAGGAAGAGAGAAAACCGUGAAGCUACAUCUACUCUCCCAGAUACAGUUGCAGCACAGUGAAAGUUAGCUGCAGCCCUCCCCGUCAGCAUGUGUCUGCAGUUCAUUAAUCAUGACUCAAUGGAAAAUCUCCCUUUUAUUGGAUAACUGGAGCAGUGCUCACCUCUGUGAGGAUGCUUACUCACCCAGGAGCUGAGGUCUGACCGUGGCGACCAUGAUCUGCAGUAACAUCACGUGGAUGGGGCUGACAUCUCCCCUCCCUGCCCUGCAUGCACUGAAAGCCCUUGCAGGGCACACAUCAAACCCUCUGGGUGUGGAGGAGAAGUACUGUGCAUUGAUACUGCUAUAGCUAGGACCGGGGCUCGAUCCCAAGGAUGCUGCUGGAUAUAGACAGGAGAAACACACAGAAAUGAUGCUGCAAUCAAAUACAGAGUUUACUAUUACUCACAAAACUCAGAGCUGUGAAUUGGAAGCUUAUGACCCUCCCUCAGAUAAGCACUCCUCCAUCUCUUCCUACUCCUCUGAGGAGUCAAUGGGGAGGAGUGUGCUUAAACUGUGAGCUCAGUGAGGAGUCUCCACCUGAUGGGCUCCGUGUGAUGCAGAUUUCAGCCCACAUUUCACUUCUCAUGGCUGAAAGAGCAACUGCCCC
ensembl:lncRNA